UUGGAGGGCAAGUCUGGUGCCAGCAGCCGCGGUAAUUCCAGCUCCAAUAGCGUAUAUUAAAGUUGUUGCAGUUAAAAAGCUCGUAGUUGAACUUCGGGAUCAAUGAGUUGGUCGUGCCUUUGGUAUGAACUGGCUUUAUUGGUUCUCACCUUCUAAUGAACCAUAAUGUCAUUCAUUUGAUGUUUUGGGGAAUUAGGACUGUUACCUUGAAAAAAUUAGAGUGUUUAAAGCAGGCUCACGCUUGAAUACAUUAGCAUGGAAUAAUGAAAUAGGACAUCGCAUUCUAUUUUGUUGGUUUCUAGGAUCGAUGUAAUGAUUAAUAGGGAUAGUUGGGGGCAUUAGUAUUCAAUUGUCAGAGGUGAAAUUCUUGGAUUUAUUGAAGACUAACUACUGCGAAAGCAUUUGCCAAGGAUGUUUUCAUUAAUCAAGAACGAAAGUUAGGGGAUCGAAGACGAUCAGAUACCGUCGUAGUCUUAACCAUAAACUAUGCCGACUAGGGAUCGGAUGAUGUUAAUUUUUUAAUGUACUC
rnacentral:rRNA from 1 species